GAAAACUUGGAACCUACCGUUGGAUCGAGAAAUGGACGUCUGAGAUUCAUCCACGUCACCAUGAGUUAAAAUUUAACUCGCAGAUUCACUCAUGAGUUAAAAUUUUACUGGGAGUUAAAUUUUAACUCAUGGUGAUGUGGACGAAUCUCGGACGUCCAUUUCUCGAUCCAACGGUAGUUUCCAAGUUUCC
rnacentral:pre_miRNA from 2 species